AAAUUUCAUGAUUCGGUAGGAACUGAAUAGAAAAUGUUUCACCGAAGUCAUGAAGUUUC
rnacentral:pre_miRNA from 1 species